rnacentral:rRNA from 1 species
AUUGAACGCUGGCGGCAUGCCUAACACAUGCAAGUCGAACGAGUGGCGGACGGUUGAGUAAUGUCUGGGAAACUGCCCGAUGGAGGGGGAUAACUACGGGAAACGGUAGGUAAUACCGCAUACCAUUGGAUGUGCCCAGGUGGGAUUAGCUAGUGGGUGGGGUAACGGCCCACCUAGGCCACGAACCCUAGCUGACCUGAGAGGAUGACCGGCCACACUGGAACUGAGACACGGUCCAGACUCCUACGGGAGGCAGCAGUGGGGAAUAUUGCACAAUGGGCGAAAGCCUGAUGCAGCAAUGCCGCGUGUAUGAAGAAGGCCUUCGGAUUGUAAAGUACUGUCAUUGAGGAGGCGUUACCUGCAGAGAAAGCCACGGCUAACUCCGUGCCAGCAGCCGCGGUAAUUC